CUUUCUUUGCUGGCGACCGGCGUACGGGUGAGUAACACGUAUCCAACCUGCCCUUUACUCGGGGAUAGCCUUUCGAAAGAAAGAUUAAUACCCGAUAGCAUAAUGAUUCCGCAUGGUUUCAUUAUUAAAGGAUUCCGGCAAAGGAUGGGGAUGCGUUCCAUUAGGUUGUUGGUGAGGUAACGGCCCACCAAGCCUUCGAUGGAUAGGGGUUCUGAGAGGAAGGUCCCCCACAUUGGAACUGAGACACGGUCCAA
rnacentral:rRNA from 1 species